ACACGGCAACAAGUGUACACGCCAGAGAAUCAGCAGAUGAGGGAAGAGCCGUAAAAGCUGCAGAAAUUCAGAAGAGAACGAAAGACACCAUGACUGAUAAUUUGAAACAAUCAGUGGCCAUUCAGGAGAUUUUGAAGGGAAUAGAGGAGAAGCAAAUGGAAACGUCGACUUGGCCUCUGACACAAACAGAGGAUGGAGUCAGCUAUUAUGCAGCACUAACAGAGAUUCUUAAGGCACUGACUGAGGUCCUCGUCAGGCAACGCUUGGAGAAAGAUCAUCUCACCCAC